rnacentral:rRNA from 1 species
GGGUUGUGAGGUUAAGCGACUAAGCGUACACGGUGGAUGCCCUGGCAGUCAGAGGCGAUGAAGGACGUGCUAAUCUGCGAUAAGCGUCGGUAAGGUGAUAUGAACCGUUAUAACCGGCGAUUUCCGAAUGGGGAAACCCAGUGUGUUUCGACACACUAUCAUUAACUGAAUCCAUAGGUUAAUGAGGCGAACCGGGGGAACUGAAACAUCUAAGUACCCCGAGGAAAAGAAAUCAACCGAGAUUCCCCCAGUAGCGGCGAGCGAACGGGGAGCAGCCCAGAGCCUGAAUCAGUGUGUGUGUUAGUGGAAGCGUCUGGAAAGGCGCGCGAUACAGGGUGACAGCCCCGUACACAAAAAUGCACAUGCUGUGAGCUCGAUGAGUAGGGCGGGACACGUGGUAUCCUGUCUGAAUAUGGGGGGACCAUCCUCCAAGGCUAAAUACUCCUGACUGACCGAUAGUGAACCAGUACCNNNNNNNNNNNNNNNNNNNNNNNNNNNNNNNNNNNNNNNNNNNNNNNNNNNNNNNNNNNACCGUGAGGGAAAGGCGAAAAGAACCCCGGCGAGGGGAGUGAAAAAGAACCUGAAACCGUGUACGUACAAGCAGUGGGAGCACGCUUAGGCGUGUGACUGCGUACCUUUUGUAUAAUGGGUCAGCGACUUAUAUUCUGUAGCAAGGUUAACCGAAUAGGGGAGCCGAAGGGAAACCGAGUCUUAACUGGGCGUUAAGUUGCAGGGUAUAGACCCGAAACCCGGUGAUCUAGCCAUGGGCAGGUUGAAGGUUGGGUAACACUAACUGGAGGACCGAACCGACUAAUGUUGAAAAAUUAGCGGAUGACUUGUGGCUGGGGGUGAAAGGCCAAUCAAACCGGGAGAUAGCUGGUUCUCCCCGAAAGCUAUUUAGGUAGCGCCUCGUGAAUUCAUCUCCGGGGGUAGAGCACUGUUUCGGCAAGGGGGUCAUCCCGACUUACCAACCCGAUGCAAACUGCGAAUACCGGAGAAUGUUAUCACGGGAGACACACGGCGGGUGCUAACGUCCGUCGUGAAGAGGGAAACAACCCAGACCGCCAGCUAAGGUCCCAAAGUCAUGGUUAAGUGGGAAACGAUGUGGGAAGGCCCAGACAGCCAGGAUGUUGGCUUAGAAGCAGCCAUCAUUUAAAGAAAGCGUAAUAGCUCACUGGUCGAGUCGGCCUGCGCGGAAGAUGUAACGGGGCUAAACCAUGCACCGAAGCUGCGGCAGCGACGCUUAUGCGUUGUUGGGUAGGGGAGCGUUCUGUAAGCCUGUGAAGGUGUGCUGUGAGGCAUGCUGGAGGUAUCAGAAGUGCGAAUGCUGACAUAAGUAACGAUAAAGCGGGUGAAAAGCCCGCUCGCCGGAAGACCAAGGGUUCCUGUCCAACGUUAAUCGGGGCAGGGUGAGUCGACCCCUAAGGCGAGGCCGAAAGGCGUAGUCGAUGGGAAACAGGUUAAUAUUCCUGUACUUGGUGUUACUGCGAAGGGGGGACGGAGAAGGCUAUGUUGGCCGGGCGACGGUUGUCCCGGUUUAAGCGUGUAGGCUGGUUUUCCAGGCAAAUCCGGAAAAUCAAGGCUGAGGCGUGAUGACGAGGCACUACGGUGCUGAAGCAACAAAUGCCCUGCUUCCAGGAAAAGCCUCUAAGCAUCAGGUAACAUCAAAUCGUACCCCAAACCGACACAGGUGGUCAGGUAGAGAAUACCAAGGCGCUUGAGAGAACUCGGGUGAAGGAACUAGGCAAAAUGGUGCCGUAACUUCGGGAGAAGGCACGCUGAUAUGUAGGUGAAGUCCCUCGCGGAUGGAGCUGAAAUCAGUCGAAGAUACCAGCUGGCUGCAACUGUUUAUUAAAAACACAGCACUGUGCAAACACGAAAGUGGACGUAUACGGUGUGACGCCUGCCCGGUGCCGGAAGGUUAAUUGAUGGGGUCAGCGCAAGCGAAGCUCUUGAUCGAAGCCCCGGUAAACGGCG